AUGUGUUGUUGGUGAUGACAUUCGUCUUGAGGUGAUGCGGUGUCAUGUUGCCUGUGUAUCCUGGUAUUGAGCUUUCGAGCUUAAAACAUGUGGAUUAUCGGUUAGUGAUACGGCAUCGCUCCCUUGGUUGAUGAAAGUUGUCCAAUGAUGCAGUGGGUUGUUUGUUUUCUUCWCGCAUCGCUCGGUGCAUUCUGUGGUCAUUUUGGCUUGUUUGCAGCUUGCUUGGCAAUUGAGCUUGGUGGGUUGCUACCGGUUGAGUGUCUUCGGGGAUGUCUGCCGUAAAGGUGCAUGAGUGGUGUUUGGUUUGUUACGGGUGGUUGGCUCUUUGCUUGCGCAACAACUUCUACCUGGCAUACCUCUUCAGUCUUAUGUCAAUGCUUGUAUUGCAUUGAAUGCAUGGUGGGUUUCUUGUGUUGCAUGCCUAAUUAAUGGUAUCGCUUGACGAAUUGGUUUUCCUUUCGUCUUGCAUUGCCUAUGCGAUGUGAGAUGAACCUUGAAGCAGCCUUUGUGAUCCACUCUUUUGAUGCCUACGCAUUGAUUUUGUGGCCCAUUGAGUGUUGCUCGGUCUCAUGGWUAUGGAACCUGGUGUGGGCAUGGAAUCUUAAUGGUUCCUUGUUUGCCCAAGUUUAGCUUAUCUAAAACGAUUGUCUAUCA
rnacentral:misc_RNA from 1 species